GUUAAUUAUGGUCCUGAGAAUCAGCUGAUUAGUACAACCAGGCAAGUACCUGAUACCCUAUGACGAGAUCAAGCGUCGUCUGGAGGCUCCAGAGAAGAUGUCUCUGCGUUCACUAGCAGCCUACACCAGGGUCAGCCGUGGCCCGGCCAGCAAGAAAACCCUGCAGGAGUCUCUAAAUAUACUGGGUCUUACUCCUGGUACUACUACUUCUGUGUCUUCUUCCUUUUCCAAGCUCACAGAGGGUGACACCAAAGCCCUGUGUAACGACAUGAAGGACUUUGCCCAUGACUACAUAGACUUUGGCAACAUGGCCAAGCAGCUUAUUCCAGAGACCAACACUGUCCAACACUGGUCCAAGGUCAUAGAAACCAGGAGCCACCUGGAGGCGAUGAGGAAGUGUUUUCGUGACCCGGUCAACAGUGCGUCGUUCGACAACGUGACUCAUGGGUUGGGCCUCGGGAUGCUCGACGCCGCCCUCGACAUGAUUACCAUGGUGAUCGACAAACAAAUUCGCAUCCUGUCUGGCGCUGCGGCAACCGAUCCCGUCGACACCGGCCCUCCAAUGAGACGCAUCCGCCGCCGCCACCGCAAGCCCCGAGACAACGGCAACGACAAAUUGCACGGGUCGCUGGGCGGGGUUAAAGGUCAAGAGAAAGGGCCAGGGAAGGGCAAAGGGAGGGGCAGAGGCAGGAAGAAGAUGCGGCUGCAGGAGUCUGGAGCUCCGGUUGGUGUUGCCAUGGAUACAACCCAGCAGCAUGAUCAAGAGCAUUGUCAGCCGGAGGAUGUGGAGAGCAGUGUUCUCACACUCGUCUCUGUUGGUUACGAGACCAUCUCCAGCGGCCUCAAUGCCACAGGACAGAUCUGAAGAUGUUUAACGGUUGAACAAACAAUGCUUAACAGGGGAAUCGGACUUUGCUUAAUAUUUUCCCAUGGGGAAGCUGGGAGCGGAACUGUCUUAGUAACUUUGUGGAACAUUGUGGAACGUUGUGAUGUUUAGACGCAACUCUGCUUUGGCCCACAGAACCCCAAACACUGAGAGGGAGGCAUUCAGUGACCUCACAGCAUUCUGGUUUAGAGUUUUGUUUUUGAAUGUUGCAGCUCUUGCCUACUGAUAAAUUCAAUCAAUUGAAUUUAGUUUUUUGUUGUCAGUUAGCACAGAGGUGAAGAACGCAGCUCUGUUCAAGUGGAAUUCAAGUCAAUCCAAAGAUAACCUGAUUAUAUUGAAAAACCUACAAUGUAGAAAUGAGUCUUAAUUCUGGUCUUUGGGUUAAGGCAGUCCAUUCAUUCCACCUACUCAUCUGGUAUUUGAUAGCCCCGUUUAUUUAUAUCAUGAGUGGACUAGUUAUAGCCCUCUCUCAAUCUCCAUGAUUGUAACAUAGGGAACACAUCAUGCCAGUACUUUGUCAAUGAUUGUAUGUUUAUAUUGAAACCUGGAUUGCUGAAAUAUUGUAUUAAAGCUUUCAUUUUAUUAAUUCACCUCCAUGAUGUUCUUUAUUUCUGACAGAAUCAAUGGCACAGCAUCUGAUCUGUUUCACUGAGGGAGUUUGACUAAGCUGAACCGGGGUGGCCUGUGACGUGACCGGGAAAAAGCGAUAAAUUGAAUAGUAAUCUGUGCCGCCCGG
ensembl:lncRNA